GCUCAGUCAGCUGGGCAUCUGACUUUGGCUCAGGUCAUGAUCUUGCAGUUUUGUGGGUUCAAGCCCCACACUGGGCU
rnacentral:tRNA from 1 species